GAUGAUGAAUAAUGAAUGUAAAUAUAAAAACUCAGCUAUUCGGUCUCACAUUGAUAUAUUCUGAUUGUGAUGUCAUAACUUUCACUCCUAAAUGUUCUUUGACAACAGUUACAGUCUGCAUUUACUCUCCACGAGUCCUUCAAACAUCUUAUUCUUCCAAAGCUACAGAACAAAUGAGUAGACAUUAAACUGUAUCUGACUGCAGGCCAGAUUAUUCCUGCAGCAUCUCCUCGCAGCUUGAAAGGAAACUAAAUUAGAAACGUCCUUGUAAUUACUCUUUGGAUUGGAGCAUUAGUGCAACAGUAUGCAGGGCGUACAUUUAAAAAAUGUGGGGAUUCAACAAUAAUUGCAUCUGGAUGUAACCUCAAGGGCGAACACGGUGUUUGAUCUUAAUUUAUAUGAAUCCAUUCCCUGAUGGGACGUAGCCUACUUUAUGGAGCAUAAAAUGUCAGAUCUGAGUUUGUCUUCAGGUCCUGAGGAGACGUUGCAGCAGCAGCAGCCACUGAGCAGAAAAAACAACCACCCACACUAUUGUUUGAUGAACACAAAGAGCAGAUGCUUUUAUUAACACGCUGCACACUUAAACUGAGGUUUCCCUGCUUUUGUUGAGUCAUUCAGAUUCAGUCUUCAUGUCAGCGACCUUAAAACUGUCUUUUUACAGCCUUUAAUACAUUUACAAGCUGCUCUUUGUAAAGCAUCUCACAGCUAACAAAGGACAAAAGUAUGAUUGAACAUUAAUUACUUUGAAACAGAACCAGCAUGUAUUUGUUUUUGUUUGUCUCGCAGGGUGAAAACUAAUUUAGCAGCAAACAGGUAAAGACCAGAGACUUCGCUGACAGAGCUGUGUAAAAGAGCGUCAGGCUGUUGUGACAUGAAUUACCACACUGUCAACCGCUGCGGAGCCCAAAGUCAGAGAUUUUCAGGGUCAGAUAGUGUCUCCGUGGCUGCUGCAGGUUUGUUUUUCAUUUUACUUUUACUGAAAGCAAUGCCAGCUGAAACUUGAUUUAUUUUUUAAAGGAAUGUCAGCGUGAGAGAAAAUUCCAAUUUAUUUCCUGCUGACACACUGCUGGAAAACAAAAACUCAACACGUCCUUGAUUUGAACAGAAAGCCGCAAUCAUAAACUGCAUGAAUUAUCUCAUCUCGCAGAGGAAACAAAGUUUAAUCAGGAGAGACGAGUUUUCAUCCAACCUGCCAUCCAGGACAUCCUUCAACGCCCUCCAGCUCCUCCUGGGGAAUCUCUAGAUGUUCCCAGACCAGAGGAGAUAUGUAGUCCCUCCAGCAUGUUCUGGGUCUGCCCCGAGGUCUCCUACCAGUUGGACCUGGCUGGAACACCUCCAGGGGGAGGAAAUGACUGACUCAGCUCCUUCGUCACCACAACGGUUUGUUACAACACCUGCACAACUGCUGAUGCUGCACCGAUCUGCCUGACAACCAGAGGAAGCAGUCCACCGUUCUCCAGCAGAGCACCACGUUAAAUUAAUUCACUCAAUGAGCUGAGUUUUGUUCAGUUAAGAUGAGAUGUAUCAUGCUCACCCUGUAAAUAAAUAAUAUAAUAUAAUAAAUGUAGCCGGGUGGUAAAUUGGUUCAGAUGUAAUUUUCCACUUAGGUGUGAUAUAGCUCUCAAAGUUGUUUGGAUGUUAAUACAUGUGUUCUUUGUUGUUUUCUUUUGAGUGUACAAUUGUUUAGGUUUAAUUAAAAUGUGAAGUAAACUGUAAGUGGGCUGUGACAGUCUCACUUGUUGUUGCUGAUUUUGGUCACAAGGUGGCAGCGUUGUGCAAUAUUAUUAUUACUCCGCCAACUGCAUCUUGGUCUUUCUUCCUGUUUACGUGCGAACAACCUGGAGAUUUGCAGAGUGGGUGACGCUGUGACUCCAUCGUGUAAAGUAGUAGGUAAAUAUACACAUAUCUUGUAAAAUAUUCCUGUACAAAUACCUAAAGGAUGUUAUCUGUCGAUAUUUUAACGAGAUGGUUUGAUUUAGACGCUCCUGGAGUUGAUGUCCUGGGAUUUUGACGUCGACCACUGUGUUCUCAGUUGCAUAGCAAGGUAAUGUUAGCGUGCAUAAAGCUACACCAUGCUAUUGUAUUUUGUUACUAGAGAAAAUGUACAGGUGUUACAUUCAUUUGAACUCUAACUGAAGGUAAACGACAGUGUGUUGAGUUGUGCAGUCUCCCGGGAGUUGGUGAAACUUGAGAAAAAUGUAAGUGUACUUUGCGAGUAUACCUUGUACAUUGACAGGCUACUUUUUGUGGGUUUAUGGCUGUUAAAUAUGUACUUAUCUGGUUCUAUUUUAUGUUUUCUGUUGAUAGUCAUAGCCCACUGUUGUAUUUUGUUUUGGUUAUUUUUCUUUUAAAUCAUUUUUUUGUGUUAACUCUGCCACUCGCUGUGAAAGCACAUGAGCUGCUCAGUAGUUUACACACUCUGUUAAAAUGACCUGUUGCAAAUGUGGUCAACAAUAUAAUUAAAGCUACAAGA